rnacentral:rRNA from 1 species
AGCGUAGACGGUGUGGCAAGUCUGAUGUGAAAGGCAUGGGCUCAACCUGUGGACUGCAUUGGAAACUGUCAUACUUGAGUGCCGGAGGGGUAAGCGGAAUUCCUAGUGUAGCGGUGAAAUGCGUAGAUAUUAGGAGAACACCAGUGGCGAAGGCGGCUUACUGGACGGUAACUGACGUUGAGGCUCGAAAGCGUGGGAGCAAACA